rnacentral:rRNA from 1 species
GACGAACGCUGGCGGCGUGCUUAACACAUGCAAGUCGAACGCUGAAGACCUGGCUUUUGUUGGGUUGGAUGAGUGGCGAACGGGUGAGUAACACGUGAGUAACCUGCCCUCUUCUUUGGGAUAACGCCCGGAAACGGGUGCUAAUACUGGAUAUUCACUGAUCUUCGCAUGGGGGUUGGUGGAAAGGUUUGUUCUGGUGGGGGAUGGGCUCGCGGCCUAUCAGCUUGUUGGUGGGGUGAUGGCCUACCAAGGCUUUGACGGGUAGCCGGCCUGAGAGGGUGACCGGUCACAUUGGGACUGAGAUACGGCCCAGAAUCCUACGGGAGGCAGCAGUGGGGAAUAUUGCACAAUGGGCGAAAGCCUGAUGCAGCGACGCAGCGUGAGGGAUGGAGGCCUUCGGGUUGUAAACCUCUUUCGCUCAUGGUCAAGCCGCAACGGGGGGUUGUGGUGAGGGUAGUGGGUAAAGAAGCGCCGGCUAACUACGUG